rnacentral:rRNA from 1 species
UACGUAGGUGGCAAGCGUUAUCCGGAAUUAUUGGGCGUAAAGAGCGCGCAGGUGGUUGAUUAAGUCUGAUGUGAAAGCCCACGGCUUAACCGUGGAGGGUCAUUGGAAACUGGUCGACUUGAGUGCAGAAGAGGGAAGUGGAAUUCCAUGUGUAGCGGCGAAAUGCGUAGAGAUAUGGAGGAACACCAGUGGCGAAGGCGGCUUCCUGGUCUGCAACUGACACUGAGGCGCGAAAGCGUGGGGAGCAAACAGGAUUAGAUA